GACGGAACCGUGCGAACGUUGUUCGGAAUCACUGGGCUUAAAGGGUGCGUAGGCGGGUCUUUAAGUCAGGGGUGAAAUCCUGGAGCUCAACUCCAGAACUGCCUUUGAUACUGAGGAUCGUUGAGUUCGGGAGAGGUGAGUGGAACUGCGAGUGUAGAGGUGAAAUUCGUAGAUAUUCGCAAGAACACCAGUGGCGAAGGCGGCUCACUGGCCCGAUACUGACGCUGAGGCACGAAAGCGAUGGGGAGCAAACAGG
rnacentral:rRNA from 1 species